UACGGAGGGUGCAAGCGUUAUCCGGAUUCACUGGGUUUAAAGGGUGCGUAGGCGGGCAGGUAAGUCAGUGGUGAAAUCUCCGAGCUUAACUCGGAACUGCCGUUGAUACUAUCUGUCUUGAAUAUUGUGGAGGUAAGCGGAAUAUGUCAUGUAGCGGUGAAAUGCUUAGAUAUGACAUAGAACACCUAUUGCGAAGGCAGCUUACUACGCAAUCAUUGACGCUGAGGCACGAAAGCGUGGGGAUCAAACAGG
rnacentral:rRNA from 1 species